GUCGAGGGGUAUAGUAGCAAUACUAGAGACCGGCGCACGGGUGCGUAACGCGUAUGCAAUCUACCUUUCACAGAGGGAUAGCCCAGAGAAAUUUGGAUUAAUACCUCAUAGUAUAAUGAGUUGGCAUCAACCCAUUAUUAAAGUCACAACGGUGAAAGAUGAGCAUGCGUCCCAUUAGCUAGUUGGUAAGGUAACGGCUUACCAAGGCUACGAUGGGUAGGGGUCCUGAGAGGGAGAUCCCCCACACUGGUACUGAGACACGGACCAGACUCCUACGGGAGGCAGCAGUGAGGAAUAUUGGUCAAUGGGCGCAAGCCUGAACCAGCCAUGCCGCGUGCAGGAUGACGGUCCUAUGGAUUGUAAACUGCUUUUGUACGGGAAGAAACCCUCCAACGUGUUGGAGCUUGACGGUACCGUAAGAAUAAGGAUCGGCUAACUCCGUGCCAGCAGCCGCGGUAAUACGGAGGAUCCAAGCGUUAUCCGGAAUCAUUGGGUUUAAAGGGUCCGUAGGCGGUUUAGUAAGUCAGUGGUGAAAGCCCAUCGCUCAACGGUGGAACGGCCAUUGAUACUGCUAGACUUGAAUUAUUAGGAAGUAACUAGAAUAUGUAGUGUAGCGGUGAAAUGCUUAUAGAUUACAUGGAAU
rnacentral:rRNA from 1 species